rnacentral:rRNA from 1 species
AUUGAACGCUGGCGGCAGGCCUAACACAUGCAAGUCGAGCGUGCGGGGGACGGGUGAGUAAUGUCUGGGAAACUGCCUGAUGGAGGGGGAUAACUACUGGAACCGGUAGCUAAUACCGCAUACCAUCAGAUGUGCCCAGCUGGGAUUAGCUCGUGGGUGGGGUAACGGCUCACCUAGGCGACGAUCCCUAGCGGGUCUGAGAGGAUGACUAGCCCAACUGGAACUGAGACACGGUCCAGACUCCGACGGGAGGCAGCAGUGGGGAAUAUUGCACAAUGGGCGCAAGCCUGAUGCAGCCAUGCCGCGUGUUUGAAGAAGGCCUUCGGGUUGUAAAGCACUUUCAGCGGGGAGGCGUUACCCGCAGAAGAAGCACCGGCUAACUCCGUGCCAGCAGCCGCGGUAAUUC